ACAUCCAGCGAACUUGGCAGAGAUGCCUUGGUGCCUUCGGGAACGCUGAGACAGGUGCUGCAUGGCUGUCGUCAGCUCGUGUUGUGAAAUGUUGGGUUAAGUCCCGCAACGAGCGCAACCCUUAUCCUUUGUUGCCAGCGAUUCGGUCGGGAACUCAAAGGAGACUGCCGGUGAUAAACCGGAGGAAGGUGGGGAUGACGUCAAGUCAUCAUGGCCCUUACGAGUAGGGCUACACACGUGCUACAAUGGCGCAUACAAAGAGAAGCGACCUCGCGAGAGCAAGCGGACCUCAUAAAGUGCGUCGUAGUCCGGAUCGGAGUCUGCAACUCGACUCCGUGAAGUCGGAAUCGCUAGUAAUCGCGGAUCAGAAUGCCACGGUGAAUACGUUCCCGGGCCUUGUACACACCGCCCGUCACACCAUGGGAGUGGGUUGCAAAAGAAGUAGGUAGCUUAACCUUCGGGAGGGCGCUUACCACUUUGUGAUUCAUGACUGGGGUGAAGUCGUAACAAGGUAAGCGUAGCGAG
rnacentral:rRNA from 1 species